GAGACAGCAGCAGCCGCGGUAAUACGUAGGUCCCGAGCGUUGUCCGGAUUUAUUGGGCGUAAAGGGAGCGCAGGCGGUUUAGUAAGUCUGAAGUUAAAGGCAUUGGCUCAACCAAUGUAUGCUUUGGAAACUGUUAGACUUGAGUGCAGAAGGGGAGAGUGGAAUUCCAUGUGUAGCGGUGAAAUGCGUAGAUAUAUGGAGGAACACCGGUGGCGAAAGCGGCUCUCUGGUCUGUCACUGACGCUGAGGCUCGAAAGCGUGGGUAGCGAACAGGAUUAGAUACCCCAGUAGUCCCUGUCUCUUAUACA
rnacentral:rRNA from 1 species